UACGAAGGGGGCUAGCGUUGUUCGGAUUUACUGGGCGUAAAGCGCACGUAGGCGGAUCUUUAAGUCAGAGGUGAAAUCCCGGAGCUCAACUUCGGAACUGCCUUUGAUACUUGGGGAUCUCGAGUUCGGGAGAGGUGAGUGGAACUGGCGAGUGUAGAGGUGAAAUUCGUAAGAUAUUCGCAAGAACACCAGUGGCGAAGGCGGACU
rnacentral:rRNA from 1 species